rnacentral:misc_RNA from 1 species
GAAAUGCGAUAAGUAAUGUGAAUUGCAGAAUUCAGUGAAUCAUCGAAUCUUUGAACGCACCUUGCACCCUUUGGUAUUCCGAAGGGUAUGCCCGUUUGAGUGUCAUUGUAAUCUCACACCCUAAACUCUUUUGUUUUGGGAGGUGGACUUGGACGCUGUUGCCUUACGGCGACUCGUCUCAAAUGUCUUAGUGUGAACCCUAUGCUAGCGUUCAACGCCCGGUGUGAUAAGUAUUUCGCCGUGGUUAGCUUGCGUUUGGCUGUAGCGCUUUACAACCGUCUUAGGACUCAAUCUCACGAUUGACUUGACAACUUGACCUCAAAUCGGGUAGGACUACCCGCUGAACUUAA